GUCCCGUUCGUCUAGAGGCCUAGGACACUACCCUUUCACGGUAGUUACAGGGGUUCGAAUCCCCUACGGGACGCCA
rnacentral:tRNA from 2 species